rnacentral:rRNA from 1 species
UAUCUCUGUAGAGUCUGCAUAUCAAUAAGCGGAGGAAAAGAAACUAACAAGGAUUCCCUUAGUAACGGCGAGUGAAGCGGGAAGAGCUCAAAUUUGAAAUCUUCAAGGUUUUACCUUGACGAAUUGUAGUUUAAAGAAGCGUUUUCUGCUGAAGUUUUGGUAAAAGUUCUUUGGAAAUAGGACAUCAUAGAGGGUGAGAAUCCCGUAUUUGACCAUUAUUCUUCAGCUGUGUGAUACACUUUCAAAGAGUCGGAUUGUUUGGGAAUGCAGUCCAAAAUGGGUGGUAAAUUUCAUCUAAAGCUAAAUAUUGGCGAGAGACCGAUAGCGAACAAGUACCGUGAGGGAAAGAUGAAAAGAACUUUGAAAAGAGAGUUAAACAGUACGUGAAAUUGUCAAAAGGGAAGCGUUUGACACCAGUGUUGUUUUCUCGAAAAUCAAUUACAAAUGGAUUUUGUAUUGUGAGAAGUUAAUGACUUCAUCGCUUGCAUUCUUUCGUUACGAACUUUCUUAAUGCACUUUUCGUUUAACAAGUCAACAUCAGUUUCUUUUGUUGUAAAAGAGGUCAUUGGAAGGUGGCUUUCUUUUCGGAGAAAGUGUUUAUAGCCUUUGGCCUCUGCAAUCGGAGAGAUUGAGGUCUGCAGCGUAGAUCCUUCGGGGUUAGAUACAUUUGUGCUAAGUUAUAGCCUUUCAUAGACAACUUGUUGACUAUGAUCAGUCAUGUAGCUUACUCGCUUAUGUUAUUUUACCUACGCUUAGGAUGUUGAUGUGAUACUGCGAGCA